UUUAAGAUGGCAAGAAGGAACUUCCUACGAAACUGCAAGCAGACCCUAAAUGACUGCACUCGGCUUUUGUUAUCCGAUAACGCUGGACACGACGACCUUCAGUCCACGUUGACAAGGAUGGAAACAAUGCAGCGAAUCCUAGAGUGGGCAAGGGGUACGCUCUUGAACGUUGCUUCAGCAGACGGCCUGAUAGCUUAAGUGUCCGAGUUCAUCGAGGAGAUUCGCACCUAUGGUCGGCAUGCACAACAAGCCAGUUCCGGUUACCAGGCUCCAUUGACUUGGACUGGAGCAAUGGGGGCUCCUCAUUAUCACAUCACCGGAGAGCAGCUGAGGUUUCUCAUGUCCUGUGCUUUCAGCCUCUCUCAGAUGGCUGAGAUUUUCCAUGUGUCCCGUUCCACAGUCAAACGGCGCCUACGGUCAGUUGUGCUUGGGGUAAAAUGCUAUGAAAAGCAAAUCUUUUAAAUGCAUGCUUUCCACAGUUUGAAGACAUGAGUUGAUUGUCAACAAUCAAGAAAUCAAGUACUAUAGUGAUGCAUAGUCUCAUCUGGGCAUUGUUACUGUUUCUGUCUCGUCAGACGCUUGAAUCUUUCACA